rnacentral:rRNA from 1 species
UACGAAGGGGGCUAGCGUUGCUCGGAAUGACUGGGCGUAAAGGGCGCGUAGGCGGCUCAUAACAGUCAGGAUGUGAAAUUCCUGGGCUUAACCUGGGGGCUGCAUUUGAUACGUGUGGGCUUGAGUGGGGAAGAGGGUCGUGGAAUUCCCAGUGUAGAGGUGAAAUUCGUAGAUAUUGGGAAGAACACCGGUGGCGAAGGCGGCGACCUGGUCCUUGACUGACGCUGAGGCGCGAAAGCGUGGGGAGCAACAGG